AACGAACGCUGGCGGCAUGCCUAACACAUGCAAGUCGAACGGGACGGUCGGGCCUUUUGGCGCACGGCGGCGGGACGAGGGGGAAGCUGCCCGUAAGUUCGGUGUAACUCCCCGAGGGGGGUCCUAAGACAGGAGGAUGUAUUCGGGCCAAAGAGUUAUCGCCUUUGGCUGGGCGCGGGUUGGUUUCGCUGGUUGGUAGGGUAAAAGCCGACCAUGGGCACGAUCCAUAGCUGGUGUGGUAGGAUGAUCCGCCACACUGGGACUGCGACACGGCCCAGACUCCGACGCAAGGCAGCAGUGGGUAAUAUUGGACGAUGGGCGAAAGCCUGAUCACGCCGUGCCGCGUGAGUGAUGAAGGGCUUAGGGUUCUACAGCUCCUUUACCCGGGAUGAUAAUGACAGUACCGGGAGAAUAAGCACCGGCUAACUCCGUG
rnacentral:rRNA from 1 species